rnacentral:rRNA from 1 species
AGAGUUUGAUCCUGGCUCAGGACGAACGCUGGCGGCGUGCUUAACACAUGCAAGUUGAACGGUAUGACAUGGAAGCUUGCUGAAGUGCCAUAUAGUAGCGGACGGGUGAGUAAUGCAUGAGAAGCUGCCAUUGGGAGGGGGACAACAGUUGGAAACGGCUGCUAAUACCCCGUAUGCCGGAAGGUGAAAGGGAGAAAUCCGCCUGAUGAGGUGCUCAUGUCCUAUCAGCUGGUUGGUGGGGUAACGGCCUACCAAGGCGACGACGGGUAGCCGGCCUGAGAGGGUGAACGGCCACACUGGAACUGAGAUACGGUCCAGACUCCUACGGGAGGCAGCAGUGGGGAAUAUUGGGCAAUGGGGGCAACCCUGACCCAGCGACGCCCGCGUGAGGGGAAGACGGCCUUCGGGUUGUAAACCUCUUUUGUACGGGAAGAAGGAAGUGACGGUACUGUACGAAUAAGUCCCGGCUAACUACGUGCCAGCAGCCGCGGUAAUACGUAGGGGACGAGCGUUGUCCGGAAUUACUGGGCGUAAAGGGCGCGCAGGCUGUGCUGCAAGUCAGCUGUGAAAUAUCUGGGCUUAACCUGGAUAUGCGGUUGAGACUGCAGUGCUGGAGUGCUGUAGAGGCAAGUGGAAUUCCCAGUGUAGCGGUGAAAUGCGUAGAUAUUGGGAAGAACACCGGUGGCGAAGGCGACUUGCUGGGCAGCAACUGACGCUGAGGCGCGAAAGCCAGGGGAGCAAGCGGGAUUAGAUACCCCGGUAGUCCUGGCCGUAAACGAUGAAUGCUAGGUGUGGGUGUAGAGAUACAUUCGUGCCGGAGUUAACGCGAUAGGCAUUCCGCCUGGGGAGUACGGUCGCAAGAUGCGGCUGAAACUCAAAGGAAUUGACGGGGGCCCGCACAAGCGGUGGAGCACGUGGUUUAAUUCGAUGCAAACCGAAGAACCUUACCUGGGUUUGACAUGUACGUGGUACCGGAUCUGAAAGGUGAAGGACGCUUCCUUCGGGAAGUGAGCGUACACAGGUGCUGCAUGGCUGUCGUCAGCUCGUGUCGUAGAUGUUGGGUUAAGUCCCGCAACGAGCGCAACCCCUGCUGCCAGUUGCCAACGGGUAAGCCGGGCACUCUGCGGGACUGCCAUCGACAAGAUGGAGGAAGGUGGGGAUGACGUCAAGUCAUCAUGGCCCUUAUGUCCAGGGCGACACACGUGCUACAAUGGCCGGCACAACGGGAAGCGAGGCAGUGAUGUUGAGCGGAUCCCUUAAAGCCGGUCUCAGUUCGGAUUGAAGUCUGCAACUCGACUUCAUGAAGCUGGAAUCGCUAGUAAUCGCAGAUCAGCCAAGCUGCGGUGAAUACGUUCCCGGGCCUUGUACACGCGGCACCGCCCGUCACACCACCCGAGUUGGGUGCACCCGAAGCCGGCGGCCUAACCUUUCGAGGAAGGAGCUGUCGAAGGUGUGUCCGGUGAGGGGGGUGAAGUCGUAACAAGGUAGCCGUACCGGAAGGUGCGGCUGGAUCACCUCCUUA